rnacentral:rRNA from 1 species
AAUUUGGGUAUUGGGGAAUUUUCCGCAAUGGGCGAAAGCCUGACGGAGCAAUACCGCGUGAGGGAGGAAGGCUCUUGGGUCGUAAACCUCUUUUCUCAGGGAAGAAAAAAAUGACGGUACCUGAGGAAUAAGCAUCGGCUAACUCCGUGCCAGCAGCCGCGGUAAUACGGAGGAUGCAAGCGUUAUCCGGAAUGAUUGGGCGUAAAGGGUCCGUAGGUGGUACUGUAAGUCUGCUGUUAAAGAGCAAGGCUCAACCUUGUAAAAGCAGUGGAAACUACAGAACUAGAGUGCGUUCGGGGCAGAAGGAAUUCCUGGCGUAGCGGUGAAAUGCGUAGAUAUCAGGAAGAACACCGGUGGCGAAAGCGUUCUGCUAGGCCGCAACUGACACUGAGGGACGAAAGCUAGGGGAGCGAAAGGGAUUAGAUACC